AAAGCCAAGGCAGGAGGGGCACCAUUGUUGGAUAAGAGUAUCAGGAGCCAUGGAGACCCACACAGAAGGAUUAACAAGCACCCACUGAGGAUAACUAGGACCUUUUCAGACCGAAAAUCUUGAGUCCUCAACCACAUGGUCCCUCAGCCUUCCGAGGUUGACUACUUUGAUUAGUGUCAAGAACGGGGGUGGCAAAUAGUUUCAUAUUCUGUGCCAACAUUAGUCAACUGAGGAGCCUAAAGUAUUGUAUUGAGAGUGUUCCUGAAGGUUGGGUUUGAGGAAAAGCAUUAUGAUUGAUUGGUGAUGUCUUCCCUGAGCACAGAACAGAGGAGAGCUGGUAUCCAUGGCAACGAGGCAAGAAGAAAAGAGAAUGCACCAUAUGAAGAUAGCUAAGCCAACGCGCCCUUCAGUGGUGUUGGUCGCUCCUGCACUCGGGGACUGAGCGGAUGGUGUGGUUUUUCCAACUUCCCAAGUUUCUUAAGGUCAAGGGAACCUUAUUCGUCCCACCUUCCCUCUCUUCAGUUUGGAGCCUCACAGCUGAUGUGGAAUAACAACAGGAAGGAGGCAAGAAUGCUCCUGAGACCCUGGCGUGACCACUCAGUUCCUGAGUACAAAUUGAGCAUGACUAUAUGCCCAGCAGCCACAGCAAGCAGAAUUACAGACCCCAGGGAGACCAAAAAAAAAAAGAAUAGCCAAUGAUGUCCACCGCUGAGGCUUUGUCUGAGCUCUUGGAGACCGUGGCAGUUUUCAUCUUCACACCUACAUCCUUCCCAGCUGAUGGACAAGUGGACGGCUGGUGGGUGUCUCAAUUGACCAUGAACCUGCUGCUCAGCCAUCCCUCUUCCUUUGCAGGUGAAUGACAGGCCUUACACUUCCUGUCCAUCGCUGAACACAUGUGCAUAGAACCCCAGCCUCCUCUGCGCUCACCUAGAGACACAAAACUGCACUGCAUGUGUCCCGAUCCUCAUGGAGUUUCAACUAGCAGGGGCUAGAAGUAAAGCUGAAAAUCCAGAGAUGAAUUUUAAGUGCUUGGAGCCAGCCAAGGGUUGCAAGAGCCCUUGCCCACAUAAGAAGUCAAAAACCUAGCAGCCAGGGUGAGUGGGCAGCCACUGGGCAGAACGAAAAGAGAGACUCCCCCACCAUACCACACACAUACGCACACACAAAGCAGCAGCAGCAAGGAGCACAGAAGUGUGCAAGAGCUAUGCCCAUAGAACUCAGCUGGUCCCACUCAGAGAAGGCAGAGUGGCUGGGGAUGAAAGGUGGGAGGUGCUGUGGC